AGUGAACGCUGGCGGUAGGCCUAACACAUGCAAGUCGAACGGCAGCACAGUAAGAGCUUGCUCUUACGGGUGGCGAGUGGCGGACGGGUGAGGAAUACAUCGGAAUCUACUUUUUCGUGGGGGAUAACGUAGGGAAACUUACGCUAAUACCGCAUACGACCUACGGGUGAAAGCAGGGGAUCUUCGGACCCUGCGCGAUUGAAUGAGCCGAUGUCGGAUUAGCUAGUUGGCGGGGUAAAGGCCCACCAAGGCGACGAUCCGUAGCUGGUCUGAGAGGAUGAUCAGCCACACUGGAACUGAGACACGGUCCAGACUCCUACGGGAGGCAGCAGUGGGGAAUAUUGGACAAUGGGCGCAAGCCUGAUCCAGCCAUACCGCGUGGGUGAAGAAGGCCUUCGGGUUGUAAGGCCCUUUUGUUGGGAAAGAAAAGCAGCAGGUUAAUACCCCGCUGUUCUGACGGUACCCAAAGAAUAAGCACCGGCUAACUUCGUG
rnacentral:rRNA from 1 species